AAUUCGGUGUAAACAUGACGGCUAUGAUAUACUUCAGUACUACAACAGCAAUGUAAGGUAUAUAACAAAACUCCGAAUCCCUUAUAAUAGAGCACAUGUCUAAGCUAUUCAAUAUCGCGUAAGUACUACCAAAAUGUAAACAUAGAAUGGGAUAAAGAAAUAUAAAAAUAUAUUGUAUAAAAUCUCUUUUAGGUCCUCCACAGAUUUCAGAAGUAGAAAUAAUUGAACAGCACAAUACGUCAUUAAGAUUGUUAAUUAAUUACACCAGCGAGGGAAAACGAAAUAUCAAUUACUGUAUAUAUGUGAAACCUCCUAUUACCACAACAGUUUUACAAAACGUAGACAAAAUGGAUGAAUCCUGUGCAGAUAGUUCCAACGAGGAAUACAGUGUUUUUUGUACAAACAGCAGCACCUAUAUGAUUUCUGGUCUAGCAUCUGGAACAAGUUACUCUUUAGAUAUAUUUUCCUGCAUUAAUGGACUGAAAAGUGAAAUGCCAUAUUCCUUAACAACAGUUACGAACUCACACAGCCAAGACCGAAUUCGCCCAGACAGACACCUAGUAAUUGUGGUUCCAGUAGUGUUUGGUUGUUUACUGGUUGUAGCGGCUGCAGUGCUACUUCUCGUUUAUGUGAGAAGGAAAGUAUCUUUUGUACUGAUGAACACAGUGUUAUUAUUUCUUUUAAAAAGGAACAUGAAAACUUUGAAGUUCAUUUAAGACUUAGCGGUUGUUUUAAGAAUUAAAUCCUACUUUUGUGCGUUUAUACGGUAUAAACCACAUUGGGACUUUUUGAAUAGCAUUAGCGAUUCUUGGAUACUUUGCAAGAAGUCACAAUGUGACUUAUACAUCAGUAAACGUCAAAAAAUAGAAUUCAUUUCUUAUAUUGACAUUCUUACGGUACCUUGCUACCAAUGGUAAGUGGUUUGCUUUCCACGAGUAAAUGUCAAGAUAUCUAGCUUAUCAAUUGCUAAAUAGAACAGGCAAAAAAGACCCGCUCAGGUUUGAUUGCAAUUCGCUUUCUGAUAAAAAAGAAGUUCCUGGUUUAAGUUUGAAAUAUCAUUGUAUCAAGUGAAAAGGCAUACAGUUAUGUCGAUUCAGUUUUGAUUUUUACCGUCAAAACAAUUAGUCAAAGUUAUAAUGAAAUGUUUCUUUUAAUAUUCUGUUUUCAAAUGUUGAAAGCAUUUUUUCCAUCGACGCCAUUAUCUUCAUGUUUCUAUGAGUGACGUCACAUUGAGCGUGCAUUCCCGAGGAAAGAGCCGUCCUAUAAAUUAUUACUCCCAUGAUGAUUAAAUGAAAGUAAACGAUUUUAUCCUUUCUGUACAAAGUGUAUAGCGAAAUGGAUUCAGUGUUUUCGGUAUAUCUAUAUACGAAGUAAUAUCUUUAUUAUCUCACUGCCUUUGAUCUAUAUCAAUGACGUUUAAGACGUGCAGCAAGCCCUGAGAAAUACUGCCCGCCCUAUUGGUGUGCAGAUCUUUUCAAUAUAAUAGAAGUUAUAUUAACAUAUUUUUAAAUUGUUAUCAUUAUUUUACGAUACAAUGAUACCCUAGAGACAAUAUAAACAUGCUGAAUAUACACAAGGUGAUCUUUGCUUUCAUUCCUGAUCGUGUUUCAGACGCCGGUUUGCGAGAGAUACUAAAACACAUGAACAGGAACCAUAUAUUUCGUUACCAGAGCAAGGUCAACAGAACAAUUCCCAUAACGAAGCAUAUGAAAAGUUAAAUAGGUAUGUAAAUGAUAAGCCUGAAGAGAUGUAUCAGCAGCUGAAAGCAGAUAAAAAUGAAGAAUAUCAAGAAAUGUAUGAUGUAGUUACUGACUCCCGAAAUCAGAAUAGGAAAGUUACCAAACAAGUUCAUUUGCAAGAAGUCGAACAGGGUCGUACACCCUCUAAAGAAAGGCUGAACAGACAAGCUGAAGGACAAGACAACACUAGCAAUGGUGAAAAUCGUGAUAUUGAAAGAUCAAACAUGUAUGUAAAUGUUAACCUAGCAGGAGAGAUAUCUCGUAUGAGCAACAAAUGCUAACUAAGGUGGGGAUACUCGGGGAAAACAUGUUUCAGUUAAGGAGGACAGACCAGUCAACAAAAGUGACCACAAAGUCAAAACAGAUAAGCAAGACUUUGCUAUGUAUGUAAUUGCAAAAUGAAUUUAGGACGACAUUGUUUACAACUGGUUUCAACAAAAACACAUGCUUUUGUUUUCAGCAUUUUGCCGUAAUAACAAGAUGUAUCCUUAUAUUCUAAUUACUUUGUGUACUUAUUUAUAAUUCGCCAAACUACCUUCAAAUGAUUGUGUUCAUAUAUUCCAGAAAUAAAAUCUUACUUGACGUCCAUUUAAUAGCCUUGUAAAAUAUAAUUCCUGUUAAGCCGGUGUUAAGGGAAC